AGCAGUCGCCACGGUAAUACGGAGGGUGCAAGCGUUAAUCGGAAUUACUGGGCGUAAAGCGCACGCAGGCGGUCUGACAAGUCAGAUGUGAAAUCCCCGGGCUUAACCUGGGAACUGCAUUUGAAACUGUCAGGCUGGAGUCUUGUAGAGGGGGGUAGAAUUCCAGGUGUAGCGGUGAAAUGCGUAGAGAUCUGGAGGAAUACCGGUGGCGAAGGCGGCCCCCUGGACAAAGACUGACGCUCAGGUGCGAAAGCGUGGGGAGCAAACAGGAUUAGAUACCCGUGUAGUCCCUGUCUCUUAUAA
rnacentral:rRNA from 1 species